AGAGUUUGAUCCUGGCUCAGGAUGAACGCUAGCGACAGGCUUAACACAUGCAAGUCGAGGGGCAGCGAGGGAGUGGCAACACUUCUGUCGGCGACCGGCGCACGGGUGAGUAACGCGUAUGCAACCUGCCCUUCACAGGGGGAUAACCGGGAGAAAUUCCGACUAAUACCGCAUACGUCCUCCGGGGGCAUCCCCGGAGGAUGAAAGAUUUAUCGGUGAAGGAUGGGCAUGCGUGAUAUUAGGUAGUUGGCGGGGCAACGGCCCACCAAGCCCACGAUAUCUAGGGGUUCUGAGAGGAAGGUCCCCCACAUUGGUACUGAGACACGGACCAAACUCCUACGGGAGGCAGCAGUGAGGAAUAUUGGUCAAUGGACGAGAGUCUGAACCAGCCAAGUCGCGUGAAGGAAGACGGAUCUAUGGUUUGUAAACUUCUUUAGUGCGGGAACAAAGCGGCGUCGUGACGCCGGAUGAGUGUACCGCAAGAAUAAGCAUCGGCUAACUCCGUGCCAGCAGCCGCGGUAAUACGGAGGAUGCGAGCGUUAUCCGGAUUUAUUGGGUUUAAAGGGAGCGCAGGCUGCGAGGCAAGUCAGCGGUCAAAUGUCGGGGCUCAACCCCGGCCUGCCGUUGAAACUGUCUUGCUAGAGUUCGAGUGAGGUAUGCGGAAUGCGUUGUGUAGCGGUGAAAUGCAUAGAUAUGACGCAGAACUCCGAUUGCGAAGGCAGCAUACCAACUCGCGACUGACGCUGAGGCUCGAAAGCGUGGGUAUCGAACAGGAUUAGAUACCCUGGUAGUCCACGCAGUAAACGAUGAAUACUAACUGUUCGGAGGGCGACCUCUGAGUGGUAAAGCGAAAGCGUUAAGUAUUCCACCUGGGGAGUACGCCGGCAACGGUGAAACUCAAAGGAAUUGACGGGGGCCCGCA
rnacentral:rRNA from 1 species